UGGUGCAGGUUGUUUCACCAGCACAGAGCUGGUAGCCAUUUACAGCUGGGUGAAUUGAGACAAUGCAGAUCAAGUGUCUUGUCCAGGAACAAUGACA